rnacentral:rRNA from 1 species
UACGGAGGGUGCAAGCGUUAUCCGGAUUUACUGGGUUUAAAGGGUGCGUAGGUGGGUAAGUAAGUCAGUGGUGAAAUCUCCGGGCUUAACCCGGAAACUGCCAUUGAUACUAUUUGUCUUGAAUGUUGUGGAGGUAAGCGGAAUAUGUCAUGUAGCGGUGAAAUGCUUAGAUAUGACAUAGAACACCAAUUGCGAAGGCAGCUUACUACACAAAUAUUGACGCUGAGGCACGAAAGCGUGGGGAUCAAACAGG